rnacentral:tRNA from 1 species
GCCGGUGUGGUGGAAUAGGCAGACACCCGGGACUUAAAAUCCCGUGAAACGAAAGUUUCGUACCGGUUCGAUUCCGGUCACCGGCACCA